ensembl:lncRNA
GUGCAAGUUUGGUGGAGUGAUCUCCCUUGCACCCGGCCGGCCGAAUAAACCAUACCUGCUUUAUAACCUAACUAGGUUAUAGAGAUUGAUUCCGCACGUCAGUUCUUUGAUAUAUGUAUACCUGGCGUGAGAUUAAGAAACAGCAGUUCAAAUGUUGGUCCGACCAGUUUAUUACAAAUCCUAGUUGUUCAGGGAGAAGGGGAAUGGGAGAAAGGCGAUAGAAAAGAUAGGAAAUAGAAACAGGGAGUCUUUAUAGGAAGUGAGAGGGAGAUAGUCACCACCAUGGGUCCAGCGUGGUUCGUAGUUCAGUCAUUGAUCUUCAGUAGUGGUGGGUCAUUGGGCGUUGUUCUGUUGACGAUGACGGUGACCACGGCGACGAUGGCGAUGAGUGCGAUGGCAGUACAAACUUAUUUAUAAGUCCAAAGUGGUUGAGUCAGCUCUCUUUGGAGUGACAGCUCAAAUCCAAAGUGAUUGAGUCAGCUCUCCUUGGAGCGUCAGCUUCUGGCUCUGGGAUCACAGCAGAAACUCCUUUGUUCCCAUCUUCUAGGUCUUGCCAGCAGAUAAGAGGGAGCAGGGAUGCCCACCUGCAUCCUGUUUUUCACAGGACACGAUGGUAUAAUUCCUCAAUUUUCCCAUACCAAGCUGGAGCUAUUUAGUCACAGGCCAGAUCUUCUGCCAGUAAACACUCCUGGGCACUCUCUUCCGGAGGCAAGCAGCUCCAAAAAAUGCUUUCAAAUGUAAAAUUGUCCACAUAGUCACGUUGAUUGCCACAAGGCAACACCCAUCUCUCAUCUAAGUCAGAGUCUUAUUGCAAGAAAUGCCUCAGAAAGCAAGCUUUGAGCCAAAAAACAAAGAAGGAUUCAUACAGUCUGGGGCCACAAUGAUAAGAAAAGCCCUCAACAUAUCCAUGUCUCCAGCUUUCCUAGCCUCCCUCUGAAUGAGCGCCCACGUAUCGUGCGGAUUGGGGGAGAACAGAUCUGGCUCUUCUUCAGGGUUUAUUGGGCCAGGAUCAAAAGGAUCAUCGGGACCCUCAAGAGGGGAGGUGACAAGGACCCCCUGCGGCGGUGGCAAUGAGGAAGCUGAUGGCACAGCAGGUUUCAAGCAACCCAGAAGCCACCUUAUCACCAUUUGUGGAUGCGUCCCACAAAUUCACCAUGAUCCCCUCCCAAGGCUCUGGGUCAUAGAUUGUCUGACUGGUGAUGGAGGGAUCCUUCCUGGUAGCCCAUACAAGCAUUUGCUGUAAAUCAGGGGAGGAUACUGAUGCCCUCUGGCAUUUAAGGAGAGAUUGAAAAGUAACUAGGACAUUUUUCUGUUCCGAAGUCAUUUUGUUCCCCGUGGUGCGCAACUGCUUACUUUCGUCCAGCAAGAAGCAAUCAGAGUGGUUAGGGGUGAUGAAACCUCGGGCAGCCGUGUUUCUCUCAACGCUCCUCUAUACAGGCUUCUAUGUCGAGCCUCACGUUUCUCUCAACAUGCUCUCCAUGGCUUCCCCGAGCCACGAGUUUCUCUCAGCUCGCUCUCGGUGGCCUCCCUCGUGUUUCUCUCAAUGCACUCUCCGACCAGUCUGCUUUUCAGGCCCCUGUUUGGGUGCCAAUUGUCGCAGUCUAGCAACACGACACAGGGUUCUCAUGUGAAAGAUUCCACUUUAUUUUCCCAAUCAAGGUUUUUAUAUUCUAACAUGCGGACUCAGAACAUUUCCACUAACAAUUCAUUGGCUAAAAAGCAAGCAUGUUUUAUAACAAAUAACUUAACAACAGUGAGCUUAUCUUAUAGAAUCAUAGAAUCGCUCAGGUUGGAAAAGACCUUGAAGAUCAUCAAAUCCAACUGCAACCUAACCAUACUACCCUAACUCUCACAGGGAUGGUGACUCAACCACCUCUUUGGGGAGCCUAUUCCAGUGCUUAACAACCCUUUCUGUAAAGAAGUUUUUCCUGAUAUCCAACCUAAACUUACCCUGGCGCAACUUGAGGUCAUUUCCUCUCCAUCUCCCACACGUUCUGGGUGUUUGGCCUUCUCUUUUAUCAGUUGAGCUUUCUGUUGAAAAACUUGAUAACCAUGUAAACCAAGAAAUUCAGCAGUCUCCCAGUCCAUUGUACACAGUCCUCUUUUGUUACUGUGGCAUCCAUGUACUGCAGUAAAGUUCCACCAUGGGAUGGAGGAACCCAAGUCUCAGGCUCACGAGCUGCCUGGUUCUCAAAAAUCAUUGGGCUGUUCUCACAACCCUGGGUAACACUGUCCAGGUUAACUGAGUCUUUUCUCCCCAUAUUGGGGUCCUCCUAUUCAAAGGCAAAUAACUUUAGACUUUCAUUGUCAAACCAGGUGGAAAAGGCGUCCUUCAAAUCCAGAAGGUAAACCCCACCUACUCAUUCCUUAACUUGGUUGAUUAAGUGUAUGGAUUUGCCACCACUGUGUAUGUAUCUUCAACAAUUCUAUUAACUGACCUCAAAUCUUGUACAAAACUAUAGCUCUUGCCAUUCAUUUUUUCACCGGCAUGAUUGGGGUGUUGUAUUUGGAUUCACAUUCAAUUAAUAAUCCGAACUCCAAAAAGUUUUCUAUUAUUUCUUUUAUCCUUCUACAGUCUUGUAUCCUCAAAGGGCACUGCUUUACCCUGACUGGGUUGGCUCCUGCUUUUAACUUAAGUUCUACUGAGCUGCCUUUUUGGCUCUGCCAGGCAUCCCUGAUGCCUGCACUCCUGGGUAAACCUGUUUCAAGAUUUCUGUAACUUCUGGGGGUAUAACGUUGUUUUUCCCAGUUUGUGUUAAAGCCAGACAAAAUUUUUAGUCUAUUGGUCUUGCUUGACCCUUAGAUCCAGUUUUUCUUUAUUGAAUUUAAUCUCUGCAUCCAUUUGUUCUAAUAUGUCUUGCCCGAGUAACAGUUUUGGAGAACCUGGCAUGUACAAGAAUUUAUAUAUUCCUACUUAUUUUCCCAGCCUGUAUUUAAUUGAUCCCAAAAAGUAAGCUAUUUCUUGUUGGCCAGUAGCUCCUACUAAUGUGGGAAUACAAGAAAGAGUAUUCAGAGCAGAAGGCGUGGAGAAAGUUAAACAGCAUGUGAAAGCAAGUUUGAGAACCAAGGACACCUC